GCCCCGCCCACAUUGGGCAACAUUAUGACCUCACAACAUGGUGGGCACAAGCUAUAACUAGGUAAGCAAUAUGCAUUCUCAAGUAGAACCUUUUAUAUCCUCAAACUGGCCAAUUUCCCACUAUAUUGCUUAUAAAUAUGAUGGUGCAUUUUCAUAGGCUUCAUUAUCUCUACCUAGCAAGAACUGAGCACCAGUCAAAUGAAUGUGAGGGAAGGGGAACCAAAACAUCGUAUCAUAUUUCUUGAAGACAGAAUACUAUUUCUCGAAAACUUAAAUCUGAGUUGUCUAGUCACUGGGGUCACACUAAUUCAAUUGCAGUUUGACUUUGUCUAUGAAUGGCUUUGGUCUCAACCUUGAAUAAGCAUGCGAUGGUAUGUAUACAUUAUCUGAAUACAUUUCCAUACAUAAUACAUUUUAUUUUACAGCUCUCUGAAAACCUUUGCCUGAAAAGAAAGCUGUGUGGCUUGAAUGAUUGCUGCUUUGAACAAGUAGCUUUAGUUCAAUAAAAUGAAAAUGCUUCCUUAACUUACUCAACACAGAAUGUAAUUCCCAAAUCUUGCUUUCAUUUUGUAAACUUGAAAAUCAUUACUGAGGAUCACAGAAUUGGGAGUUUGUGAAAAUGAGGGAUCAUCAGGUCACUUCUGUACAAAGGCAGAAAACACUGCACAUUGACCACCUAAAGAUUAACCCUCAUAAUCCAGAGCCAAUGAGGUGUGACACAGGUAGAAAGACUCCGCACGCAGCAGACUGCCUAAAAGACAACUGGGGUGUUAUUGUUUUAUUUUGAAGAUAGGACCAAUUGAGACGUUAACGGUCAUGGCCAGCACUGUGAAUUAUACUCAGAAAUGAACUGGCAAUAAGUGCAGUGUGAUAAAAAUGUGAGUCAUGUGUUCAAAGGGGGUGAGGACUAGUUCUGGUCAAGAGUCUUGGCAAUGCCUGAUCAGCUUCCUCCAGAAACAAUGUCAUCAAAAGUGGGGAAACUUGUCUAUCAUUUGCUACAGAAGUAAGACAGCCAGGUGGGAGAGGUGGCAAGGCGAAACUGCAGAAUAACUAUAAUGCCCCACCCCCCCAGUUCACCUUUUCCUUGCCGUUUGCAGGUAUAAUUAACAAUGGAUGUCAUCAGCUUAUAAGCAGAGAACCCUGGACUCAGCUGACAAGAGUGUAAAUGCAGGUAGAAAUCCUUUCAAUGUUGGCACUUCUGUUGUCAUGAAUACGCUAUCAAAUGAACAAAAAUUGUACCAUCGAAAGCUCUAUGAAAGGCAGGGGAUGGCGUGACACUGAUAAACUUAUCCUUCUGGAAUCCCAGAAACUUGCUGUAAGCAACACAAUGAGGUUAGACCUGCUGCUCAGCUUCGCCUUGGCGUUAGUGCUUAUUACCUUGUGCUUGAGGAAAAUAUGGCCACAGCAUAUGUAAGCUGUGUGGACUGAUCAACACUGUGAACCUAUAGUCUGGGCUGGUUCAUAUGUCACCCUAGACCAAACAAUGGCUUCAUAUGAAUGAGCAAGUAAUGUGCACUCAGGUCCCACUUUCCAAACGCAUGCUAUGUGAAAAUUCACUUAUCCAUCCACGAGGAAUUAGUACCCAAAUCUCACUGUACACACCACAGAUUCAGAUACGCAAGCAGCCAGAGUUUGUCCAUUUCCUUACUUGUUUGUGCUUUGCUGGUUGGCAACAGCCAUUUUCAGGCAGAAACCGGGGAGGGAGGGAGGGAGGGAGGGAGGAGGGGGUCAGGGAGCAGGAGAAAUCAGACAAGUCAGUUUUUCCUUUGCCUCUCCUUUUCUGGUUGGCUGCAGAAACCAUGGAGGGAGAAGGGAGGGAAAUGAGACAAACCAUGGAUUAGAAAUGUUCCCAUAAAAAAGAAUGGAAAUUAUAGGCUCGUUAUGCGAACCUUCGCCUAAUGAAUGAUUUCCAGUGAAUGCAUUGUGUUUGGAAAGUGUGAACUGCAUGCAGGCUCCCAGGGAUGAGAUCACGUCUGCUUUGCUCCUCCUGGCCACUUUGCUGCUCCACCACGCUGAGCUAAACCAUGGUUUGGGCCAAGCAUGUUGUCCAAAUCUGGACUCGUGGUUUAGCUCCCUCCAGAUAAACCACAAGCUCUUUCUGUAUUCUUAUCAUAAAGGGUUGCCUCACAACAGGCCUACAAUAACAAACCUAAAUCCCUAGAGUAAUGCAUUUUGACCACAAGCAGUAAUUUCUGUCCUUUAGAAUGAUUUUUGGAUAAUUCAGUAUACUGUGAGACUGGAAUACAUCUAAUCUUUUAAACAUCCAGCUAAGCAAUGGCAAUUUGGCUCCUGAAACACUACACAGCAUAUGGUAAAUGAUGAAAAGGGGAGAGGUGAGUCUUUUGUGACUGUAUAUCUUCAUAUUAGCUGUUUUAUUUUAUGUUUGGAUUUGAGAUUACUGGUACUGUCAGUUUGGAUUUCUUUAUUGAUUUAUUAUAUUAUUGUAUGCUGUUCAUUACUAGCUGCUGCAAUUUUGCAGGGGGGGGGGGCGGAGUGUAAUGUCCCUUCGCUAAAUGCUGCAUCUUUUCCUUCUAAUAUUUUGCAGAACAAUUAUAGCACAUUAUAAGCUGAUAAUGAUGUUCCGUAUAGAACAUGCAUAUGAGCUCUGGCAUUUUAAAAAUCCAUUCCACAUUUUAAAAGAUAAUAGCCCAAACGCCUACUCAUCCCUGUAAUUGUCCCUACCAUCUAUGGAAGUCAAAACCCAAUGGGUUUAAAUAUGUGACUCUGAAAUAUUACUAUUCAGGUCUUCUUAUAUUUACAUAAGUUUAUUAAGACUAUAUACUGUGAAGAAAACCAAACAUCUAAGAACUACUAUUUCUCUUCUUCUGACAUAAACAAUGGACUUGCUGUAAUAGUAUGUGAGUGGGUGUCUGUCAGUACCAUCUAUAACUAGUUUUUAGUCUUUUUCAUAGACUAGAAUGGGGGUGGCUUAAACACUUACAUUUAACAUAAAAUCACUGCUGGAUGAUCACUUCAAGGAUCCAUCUAUUCCAGGAUUCUGUUGCCAACCAAAUGUCUUCAGUAAGUCCCAACAUGGCACACAAAGGCAGUGGCCAACAUCCCUCCUCUGUUGCCUGUCCCCAGUAUUCAGAAAUGCUAUCAUAUUAUGAUUCUAUUUCUUAAUUGAUUACUACAUAAAAUGUCUCAAAGCAGCUUACAAUUUAAAAAAAAACCCAAACCAAACCAAAAUGUGCACAUACAUGAAUUUAAAACAAACAACAAAAGAAAUAAAAUGGCAUUAGGAAAAGUGGCUAUCCUACCCCCUCAACCUACUAAAAGAUGAACACCAAAACAGGCAGGGUCACACCAUCAUACCACAUGAUUCCAACUAAGAAUCAAAUGGCCAGGUAAAAAGGAAUAUGUGUUGGCCUGGCACCAAAAAGGUGGUACCAAUGGCACAAGGCAUUCCUCCCUGGGGAAAGCUUUCCACGGUGGGGAAGUACAAUGCCUCUGCAGAGGCACAGUUCCCGGGUUCCAAUUCACGACCCAUGCAGCCUACCUAGGGAGACUAGAAGCACUGCCAAAGAAAGAAGGAGAUAUCAAGUAAAAUCUUUUAACAGCACAACAACGCUGAUUGACAGAAGGGGUUCUACAAAACAAAGCCUAAUGAAUCAUAUAGUUUCAGAAUUAAAGGUAAAGGUAAAGGGACCCCUGACCAUUAGGUCCAGUCGUGACUGACUCUGGGGUUGCGGCACUCAUCUCGCUUUAUUGGCCAAUGGAGCCAGCGUACAGCUUCUGGGUCAUGUGGCCAGCAUGACUAAGCUGCUUCUGGUGAACCAGAGCAGCGCACGGAAAUGCUGUUUACCUUGCCGCUGCAGCGGUACCUAUUUAUCUACUUGCACUUUGAUGUGCUUUCCAACUGCUAGGUUGGCAGGAGCAGGGACCGAGUAACGGGAGCUCACCCCGUCGCGGGGAUUCGAACCGCUGACCUUCUGAUCGGCAAGUCCUAGGCUCUGUGGUUUAACCCACAGCGCCACCCGUGUCCCUCAGUUUCAGAAUUACUGAUUGAUAAAUUACAUUUAUACCUUAACAACAAAAAGAAGAGCUUUUAUACAUAAGAUCACAUACGUUCAAUGUCUUUUAGCUUAAUUCCCUAACACAUGGGUAGGCAAACUAAGGCCCGGGGGCCGGAUCUGGCCCAAUCACCUUCUAAAUCCGGCCCUUGGAUGGUCCGGGAAUCAGCAUGUUUUUACAUAAGUAGAAUGUGUCCUUUUAUUUAAAAUGCAUCUCUGGGUUAUUUGUGGGGCAUAGGAAUUCGUUCUUCUUUUUCCAAAAUAUAGUCCAGCCCCCCACAAGGUCUGAGGGACAGUGGACCAGCCCCCUGCUGAAAAAGUUUGCUGACCCCUCCCUAACAUCUCCAAAAAGGGAGUAAAGACUUAUAAUUUAAUAUGUAAUGUGUAAGCAACUUAUUACCAAGCCCAUAAUUGGGGGGAAAUUAACUGCUAUCUGACCAACCACGAAAUUCAAACAUAACCCAAGAUAAAAAAAUAUAUUUUUAAAAAAAGAAGAUUUAGUUCUGACAAGUUAAGGCUGAACAUUGCGAGCUAAAGGCCUAGAAAGUAGUGCAACCUUUUACAAACUUGAUUUAAAUCACCUUUCAAAACUUGCUACUUCAAAGCUUGGAGCGGGGAGAACACUGGUGGGAAUGAGGGAAGAGGCCGAAGAGAGGAGGGGAUUCAGAGGAAGGAAGACAAAGGAAGGCUAAAAGUCAAGCCAAGGGUAAAGGUAUAAAUUAGCAGUGCCUCUGGCAAGAAUCAAUUAGUGCUGGACAAUUCAGCCUUUACAAUAUUCUUUCAUUGUCUGCUUUCCUUCCUGGUUACAGAUACAUGAUGUAUCCCAUUCAGCAAAAAUCUCCCCUCUACAUUUUUACGCCCAGCAGGGCUUUUAAGCAGUUAUUGUAAGUGAUGAUCUCUGGUAAAUAUCACAGAUAAUACUUAUAUAGGAGUAGGUAUACAGAAUUAACUUUCUGGCCAAUCACAUUCUUUGUGUGAAUGAAUGGUUUCAGAGGCCCAGCUCCUAGGAAGGAACCACUGACUGAGUUUUUUUGCAUCUGCAGCCACCUUGACCCAACAGGAAAAAUCUGGAAACAGUGUCUCUGGGCACAUCUUUUGUCCGUGGAAAUGCUACAGCAAGCUCUACCACAACUGCGUAAACCCUCAUAUCUUAAGGCCCCACCAGGAGAGGAAGCAGAGGAUAUCUGCAAUGGCACCAAAGCAGUCAUUUCAUAUGAUGGAAAGAGCCUAGAAUACUACUAUCCUGUCUGGCCACUAGAUAUAUGUGUGCCAUUCAUCUCAUUCAUUGACAAUUGGUGUUCAUUUUGUUUCAUCAGGUAAAAGGGAAAGUUCCGCCCCCUCUCAGAUGUCAGAAGCACAGGUUGACAACUCACCCCAUUAAUCAUUAGACUGAGGCACCUACAUAUAAGCUGAAUUAGGGCCUCUUCAAAAACCAUUUCACCCCUCGCUUCUAGACAUGAUGAAAUCAGAAAUGGGCCAUAGGUUCCUGCACUUCUUUCCUACUCCCCUUGAGAAUGAGCAGAAGGGAUUGUCUGAAUUAGUGGAUCCUAGGCUACAUCCAGACCAGUUAGCCACACUAAAGUCCCACUGGAAUCAAUAGGGCAAGGGAGUUAUUACUAGGGAAUCUUGUGAAUUCCAAGAGGAAGUGGCCUGAUUUCUACCUCUUGUGCUAAUGUGCACAUAAUAAUAAUAAUAAUAAUAAUUAUUAUUAUUAUUAUUAUUAUUUUUACCCUGCCCUCCCCAACCAAGGCCGGGCUCAGGGCACCGGAGUACAUCAGAAGCUAUUCACUGGUUUUGAAAUAUCCCAAAGACUCCAAUACAGUCUCUAAUAAUAAAAAAGUAUCAAAGUGCAUUAAAAUACAUAUUUUAAGACAAAAUGCGUCUAAAAUGCAUAUUUAUAUUUAAAUCUGAUUUUUGUGAUUUAUUUAUUUUUAAUGUAGAAAUGGAGCAGACUACAUUUAUGAGUGAACCCAUGAAGAAGUGGCAUGGACUAGAGAAUGGAUUGCUUUGCCCAUGCCUAGUCACACCUAGCUUUCAGAUUACUUUCAAAGGGAUCAAAGUACAGUUAACCUGGUCUGAAUCCAAACCACCACCAUGACUAUUUGAACAUGUGAUCUCUCUCGAUCCUGGAUAUAAAACCAGUUUAUACAGAGUCAAGAAAUUAUUUUUUAAAAAAAAACCAGACGUUUUGAUACUUCUGUAAACCUUGGAAGUUUCUUUGGGUAAAGGUGAAAGAGAAAGGAGAUUUGCCCAUUUAAUAUUCUGUACGCUGCUCUUUUUCAAAAUCUCUCUCUCUGUGCAGGGAAUCAAAGAAACAACAACAGAAGCUUGCUUGAGGAAGAAGCACAGGAUAGGAUGGCUCUGAAAAACUCUUAAGGAGAAAUUCAUGGUUUUAAAAGAUUUAAAAAAGAAACCAAGGUCAGAUUAUUAAAAUGGCCAUUAUUAUGCUGCAGCCAUUUUAAAGGAGGGUCAGCAAAAACAAGUGCCACUUUAUUUCUACUAGAUUAAAUUUAAUCUAGCAAAUUAUAUGAGCUGCAUAUGUAUGAUUACGACCAGAACAUCAUUAUUUUGUGUUCUGCUUAGAUUCACUCACGUUUUAGAGCCAAGAACUGCUGCAUGAAUUCCACACACACACACACACCAUCUACUGAAAUUGUAGGCAUUUACACAUACACACAUAAGUAUUGCCUUACCAGUUUCUAGUAGGAUGCUUAUGAUGCCAUGUCUCAACUCUAUAAUUGGUUCAGAGCAAAGACAAAGACUGACAGCUGACAAACAGCAAACCAAUUCAUCUUUCAGAAAAGCUUUCUUGAUCUCACAACAGAUUACACCUGUCUCAUUCAGUACAAUCAGCCAUCUGGCCCUUCCUUGGGAUGUGUGCUUAAACUUCAAGGUCUGCUUAUUAUGAGUACCUUUUGAGAGGAGGGCAUUGUUAUCAACAGCAAAUGCAUUUAUCCCUAUCCUCAGGAUGAAAUCAUCUUCUUGUUCAGAUGAUGUGUUUUUGGGCGGGUAGCAACCUUACAGGGAAGUAUUGAUUUUUAAAUCAAGCAUACAUUAAAAGGGAAGGGAAAGUGGUAUCACCGCACUUUUAACGCUCCUACAUAUUCUGGACCCUGUCCAUUUUGUUUGUGAUUAAAUGGCUGAGGCGUACUUCAGUUUCGCCCCAUCGUAGCCAAACCCUUUUGUUUUAGUCUCGCAACCUUAAAGAGGAGAACUGUUAGUUUUGUGAUAACAUUAGGGAUGCCGUUAAAUUGUAAUGCUCCCCUUGUUAUAGAAAAAGAGCCAUUACAUUUAAGUAUGUGUUUACUGUAAGCAUUUAACAAGCUCAUAUAUAUUUCAUACCAAAAUCUAUAAUGCUUGCUUUACACAAACAUGUUAGUGACCACACUGAGCCCCCCUCCCAAUUAUUUCAGCUUUGUGAAACAGAUUCUCUGAAUGUUGUGCAAUUAACUUUAAU